rnacentral:rRNA from 1 species
CACGUAGGGGGCAAGCGUUGUCCGGAUUUAUUGGGCGUAAAGAGCUCGUAGGCUGUUCGAUAAGUCGGGUGUGAAACCUCCAGGCUCAACCUGGAGACGCCACCCGAUACUGUCAUGACUAGAGUCCGGUAGGGGAGCGUGGAAUUCCUGGUGUAGCGGUGAAAUGCGCAGAUAUCAGGAGGAACACCGGUGGCGAAGGCGCUGCUCUGGGCCGGUACUGACGCUGAGGAGCGAAAGCGUGGGGAGCGAACAGG